rnacentral:tRNA from 1 species
UGCCGGGUGGUGCAAUUGGUAGUUCACGCCACGCUCUGGACGUGGAAAUCCAGGUUCGAGUCCUGGCCCGGCAG